GCGGCGUGCUUAACACAUGCAAGUCGAGCGAUGAGAUCCCUUCGGGGAUGGAUUAGCGGCGAACGGGUGAGGAACACGUGAAGAAUCUGCCUUCAACCCUGGGAUAACACCGGGAAACCGGUGCUAAUACCGGAUAUGAGCCUUGAUCGCAUGAUCGGGGCUGGAAAGUUUAUCGGUUGAAGAUGACUUCGCGGCCUAUCAGCUUGUUGGUGAGGUAAUAGCUCACCAAGGCGACGACGGGUAGCCGGCCUGAGAGGGCGACCGGCCACACUGGGACUGAGACACGGCCCAGACUCCUACGGGAGGCAGCAGUGGGGAAUAUUGGGCAAUGGAGGAAACUCUGACCCAGCGACGCCGCGUGCGGGAUGAAGGCCUUCGGGUUGUAAACCGCUUUCAGCAGGGAAGAAGCGAAAGUGACGGUACCUGCAGAAGAAGCACCGGCUAACUAUGUGCCAGCAGCCGCGGUAAUACAUAGGGUGCAAGCGUUGUCCGGAAUUAUUGGGCGUAAAGAGCUCGUAGGUGGUUAGUUACGUCGGAUGUGAAAAUCUAGGGCUCAACCCUAGACCUGCAUCCGAUACGGGCUAGCUUGAGUUUGGUAGGGGAGACUGGAAUUCCUGGUGUAGCGGUGGAAUGCGCAGAUAUCAGGAGGAACACCAAUGGCGAAGGCAGGUCUCUGGGCCAAUACUGACACUGAGGAACGAAAGUGUGGGGAGCGAACAGGAUUAGAUACCCUGGUAGUCCACACAGUAAACGAUGGGCACUAGUUGUGGGAACCUUCCACGGUUUCUGCGACGCAGCUAACGCAUUAAGUGCCCCGCCCUGGGAGUACGAUCGCAAGAUUA
rnacentral:rRNA from 1 species